rnacentral:rRNA from 1 species
UCGGGAAUUUUGCGCAAUGGACGAAAGUCUGACGCAGCAACGCCGCGUGAGGGAUGACGGCCUUCGGGUUGUAAACCUCUUUUGUCAGGGACGAUGAUGACGGUACCUGACGAAUAAGCCACGGCUAACUACGUGCCAGCAGCCGCGGUAAUACGUAGGUGGCAAGCGUUGUCCGGAUUUACUGGGCGUAAAGAGCGCGCAGGCGGUCGAUUUAGUCGCGUGUGAAAGCCCCCGGCUCAACUGGGGAGGGUCACGCGAUACUGAUCGACUCGAAGGCAGGAGAGGGUAGUGGAAUUCCCGGUGUAGUGGUGAAAUGCGUAGAUAUCGGGAGGAACACCAGUGGCGAAGGCGACUACCUGGCCUGUUCUUGACGCUGAGGCGCGAAAGCUAGGGGAGCAAAUGGG